GUUGGUGUGGUGAAACGGCUAUCAUUACGGUCUCCAAAACCGUCGUUCCGGGUUCGAAUCCCGGCACCUUCGCCA
rnacentral:tRNA from 1 species